CAGGGAUUGCCCUAGUAACGGCGAGUGAAGCGGCAACAGCUCAAAUUUGAAAUCNGGCGUCUUUGGCGUCCGAGUUGUAAUUUGCAGAGGGCGCUUUGGCAUUGGCAGCGGUCCAAGUUCCUUGGAACAGGACGUCACAGAGGGUGAGAAUCCCGUACGUGGUCGCUAGCCUUUACCGUGUAAAGCCCCUUCGACGAGUCGAGUUGUUUGGGAAUGCAGCUCUAAAUGGGAGGUAAAUUUCUUCUAAAGCUAAAUACUGGCCAGAGACCGAUAGCGCACAAGUAGAGUGAUCGAAAGAUGAAAAGCACUUUGGAAAGAGAGUUAAAAAGCACGUGAAAUUGUUGAAAGGGAAGCGCUUGCAGCCAGACUUGCCUGUAGUUGCUCAUCCGGGUUUCUACCCGGUGCACUCUUCUAUAGGCAGGCCAGCAUCAGUUUGGGCGGUUGGAUAAAGGUCUCUGUCAUGUACCUCCUUUCGGGGAGAACUUAUAGGGGAGACGACAUGCAACCAGCCUGGACUGAGGUCCGCGCAUCUGCUAGGAUGCUGGCGUAAUGGCUGUAAGCGGCCCGUCUUGAAACACGGACCAAGGAGUCUAACAUCUAUGCGAGUGUUUGGGUGUCAAGCCCGAGCGCGUAAUGAAAGUGAACGGAGGUGGGAACCUUUCGGGGUGCACCAUCGACCGAUCCUGAUGUCUUCGGAUGGAUUUGAGUAAGAGCAUAGCUGUUGGGACCCGAAAGAUGGUGAACUAUGCUUGAAUAGGGUGAAGCCAGAGGAAACUCUGGUGGAGGCUCGCAGCGGUUCUGACGUGCAAAUCGAUCGUCAAAUUUGGGCAUAGGGGCGAAAGACUAAU
rnacentral:rRNA from 1 species